rnacentral:rRNA from 1 species
CCGUGACUGGGAUAACUGGCCGAAAGGCUUGCUAAUACCAGAUAAGCCCACGACCUCUUUUUCCUGCCGAGGGAAAAGGCGGCCUCUGUAUACAAGCUGUCACAUGGAGAUGAGUCCGCGGCCCAUCAGCUAGUUGGCGGGGUAAAGGCCCACCAAGGCUACGACGGGUAGCUGGUCUGAGAGGAUGAUCAGCCACACUGGAACUGAGACACGGUCCAGACUCCUACGGGAGGCAGCAGUGGGGAAUCUUGCGCAAUGGGCGAAAGCCUGACGCAGCAACGCCGCGUGUGUGAUGAAGGUCUUCGGAUCGUAAAGCACUGUCGAGAGGGAAGAUACGCCACCGGCUAAUAUCCGGGGGCUAAGACGGUACCUCUAAAGGAAGCACCGGCUAACUCUGUGCCAGCAGCCGCGGUAAUACAGAGGGUGCUAGCGUUGUUCGGAAUUAUUGGGCGUAAAGCGCUUGUAGGCGGCUUGUUAAGUUCCGUGUGAAAUCCCCAGGCUUAACCUGGGAAGUGCGCGGAAAACUGGCGAGCUU